GACCCUAAAAAGUUCUAAAAGCACAAAGAUUUGGUCCUGGUCUUAUUGUCAGUUAUCUCUUGAUUUAUACAUGCAAGUCUCAGCACACCAGUGAGGACGCCCUUACCCCUUCUAUAGGACAAGGAGCUGAUAUCAGGCACUUCCACCGCCCAUAACAUCUAGUCCGACCACACCCCCAAGGGUAUUCAGCAGUGAUAAACAUUGUUUAUAAGCGACAGCUUGACUCAGUCAAAGAGAAGAGGGCCGGCCAACCCGGUGCCAGCCGCCGCGGCUAAACCCUAGGGCCCAAAUUGAUAAUACUCGGCGUCAAUCGUGAUUAAAGCUUUCUAAAAUUAGAGUAGAACCUAUUAUUAAGCUGUGAAAAGCAAUUUUUUUAGGGAAAAUCAGAAACGAAAGUUACUCUAAUACACACUUGAACACACGACAACUGGGGAACAAACUGGGAUUAGAUACCCCACUAUGCCCAGUCGUAAAAUAUUAACUUACGCACAAAAACGCCCGGGAACUACGAGCUCUAGCUUAAAACCCAAAGGACUUGACGGUGUCCCACCCAACUAGAGGAGCCUGUCCUAUAAUCGAUGGUCCCCGAUAUACCCAACCUUUUCUUGCUCAUCAGUCUGUAUACCUCCGUCGCAAAUCUACCAUAUGAAUGAUACAUAGUUCGGUUCAAUGAUCACUUCAUCAGAACGUCAGGUCAAGGUGCAACCUAUGAAAAGGCAAGUGAUGGGCUACAAUUUCUAACCUAGAACAA
rnacentral:rRNA from 1 species